GACAAUUUUAAGGGUGAUAUUGACAUUUAAUAGAAUGAUGAUUAACUUCCAACUCUUAGUUUGAUUUAUGCUUACGUUUCAUUUUUGGUAAUUGAUAGUUGCAAUAAAAAAAUUUAUGAAAAAAAAUUGCAAAUUCCCCGGGAAAAUCACGAAACAAGGGGAUCAGCCUCUGCCUUAAGAUUUACGAAUGCGAACAGGGGACACACACCCACCAAACUCCACAAAGAAAAUAUCCUCCUCUGCAGGAAAAAAAAAAAAAAGAACAGAGACAAUGGAAGCAUUUUACUUGAUGGUAUUCGGGGCCCUGGCAUCCCUCGUUGCAGCGUUGGAGCUAAGCAAAACCAGCAAAGAUCGUAUUAACACCUCCUCCGCUUUCAGUUCUUUCAAAAACAACUAUCUUGUCGUAUACUCUUUGAUGAUGGCUGGGGAUUGGCUGCAGGGGCCAUAUGUUUACUACCUCUACAGUCAAUACGGAUUUGGGAAGGGGGAGAUUGGCCAACUCUUUAUAGCUGGUUUUGGAUCUUCCAUGUUGUUUGGUACAAUUGUUGGAUCAUUAGCUGACAAAAAGGGUCGAAAGAGGGCAUGUGUUACUUACUGCAUAACUUACAUACUGAGCUGCAUUACCAAACAUUCUCCUCAGUACAAGGUUUUAAUGCUGGGACGAGUGUUGGGAGGCGUUGCAACUUCUCUUCUCUUUUCAGCAUUCGAGUCUUGGCUUAUUGCAGAACACAAUAAGCGAGGCUUUGAUCAACAGUGGCUUUCUAUAACAUUCUCAAAGGCAAUAUUUCUUGGAAAUGGCUUGAUGGCAAUUUUAUCUGGGUUGUUUGGUAAUGUACUGGUGGAUAAUUUGCAAUUAGGACCUGUUGCUCCAUUUGAUGCUGCAUCUUGUUUCCUUGCAAUUGGCAUGAUAAUUAUAUUGUUGUCAUGGACUGAAAAUUAUGGUGACCCUUCGGAAAGCAAGGACUUGCUUACGCAAUUCAGGGGUGCUGCUGCUGCCAUUGCUUCUGAUGAGAAAAUUACUUUGCUGGGUGCUAUACAAUCCCUAUUUGAAGGUUCAAUGUACACCUUUGUGUUCCUCUGGACCCCUGCUUUGAGCCCAAAUGACGAGGAUAUUCCACACGGUUUUAUUUUUGCGACCUUCAUGUUAUCUUCAAUGCUGGGAAGCUCCAUUGCCUCGCGACUGCUGGCUCACCCAAGCCCAAAAGUUGAGAGCUAUAUGCAGAUUGUAUUCAUGAUCUCUUCAGCAUCCCUGCUGCUUCCUGUUGUCACAAAUUUCUUGGUAGCACCGUCAGCUGUGAAAGUUGGAAGCAUCUCGUUUUCUGGGUGUAUCCAACUCAUUGGUUUCUGCACAUUUGAAGCCUGCGUUGGGAUAUUCUGGCCAUCUAUUAUGAAAAUGAGGUCUCAAUACAUUCCGGAGGAGGCUAGAAGCACUAUCAUGAACUUCUUUCGCAUUCCUCUCAACAUCUUUGUGUGCAUUGCAUUAUACAAUGUAAAAGCACUUCCCAUGACCGUCAUGUUUGGCAUGUGCUCGAUUUUCCUCUUUGUGGCAUCUAUGUUGCAGAGGCGUCUUAUGGUGAUUGCAGAGAUCCACAAGUCAAGAUCACAAAAUUGGACGGCAAUGAAAGAGAUGGAUUCCGAGGCCGAUCCAUUAAAUGGUUAAUUGAUUUCAGAGGGAAUAAACUUCUAAACACUAAACUGUUUUAGAGCUUGCAGCAGAUGAAUUUUCUUGGUAUAACUGUUGGGGCUGCAUUUUGUUUAAGCUGUUUGCAUUCUGAAAGACGGUAUGAAGUUUGGGCCUAGUCCUAUUUGCUUAGAAGAGAAGGUUUGAAUACGGGACGAUGGGCCAAAAUAUGACUUUCAGUAACUUGUUUGACGCCUCCGGAAAACAGUGGCUAGAGAUUGGAAAAACAGAAUGGGGGUUAUACUAUGCCUUCAUAUGGUAUCUAUACCAGUAGACAAAGCUGGUUCUACCACAGUUGAAUAGAAAAUGCGUUCCAUAAAAAUUUUAAAUUUAUCAUCUAUCUCAUACAUCACUUCAGCUCUGAAUUUCACCUGUAAAUUGUGUUUUGAUUUCGACAACUAGCUAAUAAAUCCCAUUUGGUGCUAAGGUAGGUAGAGUCAGGGCUUUCAAUUUGAGUGAUAACUGAUAACUUACAUGGCACUCAGCCCAAUCUGGCUGCAUUUAGUGUGCUUACAUAAAAGAAAAACCAGAAGAGAAAAGGGCAAAAUUUCCUAUCCUUUUAGAUGAUAAAAAUAUGUAAAUAAAGGAUACAGAAUAAGCAAGAAACUGCUGAUCCAAUUUGCACUGAAUAUGUAAUUUAUGGAGCUGAUAAGAAAUUUUCUACUAAACUUGAUCUUGGCCAAAAAAUAAAGGUACGAUGUAACUUAUGAAA